rnacentral:rRNA from 1 species
GAAAUCCCAGAGCUUAACUCUGGAACUGCCAUCAAAACUUUUCAGCUAGAGUUUGAUAGAGGAAAGCAGAAUUUCUAGUGUAGAGGUGAAAUUCGUAGAUAUUAGAAAGAAUACCAAUUGCGAAGGCAGCUUUCUGGAUCAUUACUGACACUGAGGAACGAAAGCAUGGGUAGCGAAGAGGAUUAGAUACCCUCGUAGUCCAUGCCGUAAACGAUGUGUGUUAGACGUUGGAAAUUUAUUUUCAGUGUCGCAGCGAAAGCGAUAAACACACCGCCUGGGGAGUACGACCGCAAGGUUAAAACUCAAAUGAAUUGACGGGGA